AAUAUAUCGAUCUCCAUCCUCUACAAUGCAUCUUGAAUCCUGUCAAGAUAUCUUCUGUGACUGAUCCAUAUAUCCAUCCAAUCUGUUCAUAUUGCAAAAAGUUUUCAUCAUUUAAUUAGGUAAGUUGAUAAAAUGGUGAAAGUAGAACUGUUUUGAGUUAUUUACCUCUUUGCCCCAUGCGGUUUUCUCUUCAUAUCCACAACUAAUGACAUGAAUUGCUUCGUUGAUCAUGGUGGCUGGGUUUGCAGAUUCGGCUAAUCCUCCAUUUUCCAUUAAAGUGGAUUCUAUAAACACAGAUGACAUGCCAAAAGUUUUCUCAAAGCUCAUUUGAGAGAUGAGUAAUGACCUCUCAUAAUCAUCAUAACCUGCACAAACAUCCCAUUCACUCAGGUGUUGUUUCAAUCUGUAUAUGAGCUAUGUAUGAGUGUUCCUUUUUUACUGCAGAAAGAAAAUAAAUAUGUCUUACUUUCAAUCUCUUUAAGGUUAAAAAUGGCAGCAUUUAAAUCAUCUCUUCUAGAAUCACGUUGAAACUCUUCUAGAUCUUUCUUAG
rnacentral:lncRNA from 1 species